rnacentral:rRNA from 1 species
UUUGUGGAGAGUUUGAUCCUGGCUCAGGACGAACGCUGGCGGCGUGCUUAACACAUGCAAGUCGAACGGAAAGGCCCUGCUUGCGGGGUACUCGAGUGGCGAACGGGUGAGUAACACGUGGGUG